rnacentral:rRNA from 1 species
GCUUACAAGUUAGCUUACUCUCUUCUUGUGCAUAUAAACCGCAACUAAGUAAAACAUGUUCUACAUUUAGUAAAGGCGAUCAAAAAAUGUCUUAAAGCUAUACAAUUAGUACCGCAAGGGAAAAGUGAAAUAGCAAUGAAAAACUUCAAGCACAUAAAAGCAGAGAUUCAAUCUCGUACCUUUUGCAUCAUGGUCUAACUAGUCUAAUCAAGCAAAAUGAUUUUUAAGUCUGACCCCCCGAAACUAGGUGAGCUACUUAAAAACAGCCUUAUGGGCCAACCCGUCUCUGUUGCAAAAGAGUGGGAUGAUUUUUAAGUAGAGGUGAUAAACCUACCGAACCUAGAGAUAGCUGGUUAUUCAGGAAAAGGAUUUAAGUCCUACCUUAGGUUUUCUGUAUAUAUAAAUACAUUUUUAACCUUAAGAGCUAUUCAAAUAAGGUACAGCCUAUUGAAACAGGAUACAACCUCACUUUAAUAAGUGGGCCCUAAAGCAGCCACCUUUUAAAAAAGCGUUAAAGCUUUAUUAACCGUUUGUAAAAAAUUCCAUUAACUACCUGUAACCCUCAACCUGUACUGAAUGAUUUCAUAAUUUUAUGAAAACCUAUAUGUUAGAACUAGUAACAAGAAGAAGCCCUUCUCCAAAAUGUAAGCAUAAGCCAAAAUGAACCACUCAUUGGCAUUUAAAGUUAAUAAACCACAAGUAGUAACUUAACAAGAAAAAACUACUAAUUAUAACGUCAACCUUACACUAGUACAUUUCUGGAAAGACUAAAAGAAUGGGAAGGAACUCGGCAAACAAUUAACCUCGCCUGUUUACCAAAAACAUCGCCUCCUGCAUUUUAUAGGAGGUCCAGCCUGCCCAGUGACAAAGUUAAACGGCCGCGGUACCCUAACCGUGCAAAGGUAGCGCAAUCAUUUGUUCUUUAAAUGAGGACUAGUAUGAACGGCAUCACGAAGGUUAUACUGUCUCCCCACUCUAUUCAGUGAAACUGAUCUCCCCGUGAAGAAGCGGGAAUAAAAAUAUAAGACGAGAAGACCCCAUGGAGCUUUAAACUCAGUAACAACUGCUAUUUUUAAGCCUAGUAUUUACACAGCCAUGAUUACUAGUUUUUGGUUGGGGUGACCGCGGAGUAGAACUUAACCUCCAUGAUGAAAGGAAGUAUUAACCUAAACCAAGAGCGACAGCUCAAAGUAUUAAUAAAUUAACUAAUUGACCCAAUUACUUGAUCAACGAACUAAGUUACCCUGGGGAUAUCAGCGCAAUCCAUUUCAAGAGCUCAUAUCGACAAAUGGGUUUCAGACCUCGAUGUUGGAUCAGGGUAUCCCAGUGGCGCAGCAGCUACUAACGGUUC